AAUUGAGUGAAGAAAUGGGAUUCAAUCGAAAUUGCUAUUCUGCGGUCCUCUAUCCAAUUCAAUCCCAUUUCUUCACUCAAUUUUCCGUUUUCGAUUCCUAAACGCCAGAUUUUUAUUCCGUUCCAUCCUUAAUGGCAACUGAAGAUCCGGCCUCGGCUGUGGAGGCCAAUUCUGAACCGGUCACCACUGAGCCUGUCGUGGAACCACCUGCCACCAAGACCGGUAAGACCAAAAAGGCUAAGGAACCCAAAG
rnacentral:misc_RNA from 1 species